GAUGAACGCUAGCUACAGGCUUAACACAUGCAAGUCGAACGGGAACUCCGAGAUGAAGUUUCGAUGGAUUCUUGGAAAUUCUAGUGGCGGACGGGUGAGUAACGCGUGGGUAACCUGCCCUUAAGAGGUGAAUAACAAUGAGAAAUCAGUGCUAAUACACCAUAUGCUUACAAGUAUCGCAUGAUAUAGUGAGGAAAGAAAUUCGCUUAAGGAUGGACCCGCGUUUGAUUAGCCAGUUGGCAGGGUAACGGCCUACCAAAGCAACGAUCAAUAGCCGGCCUGAGAGGGUGAACGGCCACAUUGGAACUGAGACACGGUCCAAACUCC
rnacentral:rRNA from 1 species